rfam:Populus trichocarpa scaffold_616_contig_1, whole genome shotgun sequence.
GCCUGUCACACUAUAGGAGCUGGCCAUGACCGAAGUCAUUACCUUAACUACAAAGAAGGAUGCCAAAGGCAGGGCUAGUGACUGGAGUAAAGUUGUAACAA